CCCUCAAUGAAAGUGUGGUCACUGAGAAGGUUUUGUGCAACGAAAACUACAAAGUCGGUUAUAAUGCUGCCACUGGCAUAUACGAGGAUUUGAUGGCUGCGGGUAUAAUCGACCCCACCAAGGUGGUGAGGUGUUGCUUGGAGCGUGCCGCUUCAGUAGCUAAGACUUUUCUCACUUCAGACGUUGUGGUCGUUGACAUCAAGGAGCCUGAGCCUGUGCCUGUGCCUGUGGGAAACCCUAGGGAUAACUCAGGUUAUGGCUACUAAUUAAACCGUAAGUGAUGAUCAUGCCGACAUCUUAUGUUGGCGCCUGCAAGUCCGGGCAAAUGCUUAUAUCCAUCUGCGGCCAAAGUUUCAUCUGGUAGGGAAUCGAAUGGAUUGGUCCAAUAAGUUGGACAGUCAAUUUUAUUCAGAAUUUUGUUUCUACUUAUCCGUGCCCGUAUCUUGUUUCCAAUUAUUUGGUUUGCAAAAG